UAAAUCACAAUCAAUCAAAACAUUUAAUUUGCCAAAUAAACUGUGUCCUAAUAAAUUCAUUCAAAACAAAAUUACAAAAUAAAUAUGACAGAUAAUACCCCCAAAACAAUUCCAGCUAUAUAUACCGAGUUCCACCACCAAGCCAAGAUCAACACCAUAUGUCACUAUGUGCCUUUGGCCACAGUAUUAUAUAAAACAAUAAAUAGUUCCUACAGGAAUCUUUUCAGCACUUCUAAAAUCAAUCAAUAAACCAGUUCACAAUGGAAGCAAUACUCAUUACUUGUUUAAUAUGAUGAGCAGAUGAAGAUGUUUAUGCAAAGACACAAGCCUUCCAUCGGUCAGGAAUGUGCUCUCCAUGCAAGCGUUUUGUCUGAUUAUUCUUUGGAAAUUUGUAUAAUCAAUAGCUAGAGAAGCUUAAUAUUAAGGGAACACUGCCUUAA
rnacentral:lncRNA from 1 species